ACCCAACUGAGAUUUUAUCUUUGUAGGGACUUCACCAUGUCUCAUCCUAGCACAAAUAGUAGGCCUAUCACAAUGGAAUAAAGGAUCAUGGACAUGUUUACCCAACUGAGUGUCCAAAUGGGAAACAUGACUGCAUGAAUGGAUCGUCUAGAAUGGGGAGGCCAUCAAAGCUGUGAUCGAUGCCACAUAGUGCAGGAUGAAACAGGGUCUUGUAGCGAUGAUGUAUAUGAUUGAU
rnacentral:lncRNA from 1 species